rnacentral:rRNA from 1 species
AGUGAACGCUGGCGGUAGGCCUAACACAUGCAAGUCGAACGGCAGCACAGUAAGAGCUUGCUCUUACGGGUGGCGAGUGGCGGACGGGUGAGGAAUACAUCGGAAUCUACUUUUUCGUGGGGGAUAACGUAGGGAAACUUACGCUAAUACCGCAUACGACCUACGGGUGAAAGCAGGGGAUCUUCGGACCUUGCGCGAUUGAAUGAGCCGAUGUCGGAUUAGCUAGUUGGCGGGGUAAAGGCCCACCAAGGCGACGAUCCGUAGCUGGUCUGAGAGGAUGAUCAGCCACACUGGAACGGGGACACGGUCCAGGCUCCUGCGGGAGGCAGCAGUGGGGAAUAUGGGACAAUGGGCGCAAGCCUGAUCCAGCCAGACCGCGUGGGUGAAGAAAGCCUUCGGGUUGUAAAGCCCUUUUGUUGGGAAAGAAAAGCAGCAGGUUAAUACCCCGCUAUUCUGACGGUACCCAAAGAAUAAGCACCGGCUAACUUCGUG